rnacentral:rRNA from 1 species
GGGAAACAGGUGCUAAAUACCGGAUAAGAAAGCAGAUCGCAUGAUCAGCUUUUAAAAGGCGGCGUAAAAGCUGUCGCUAUGGGGAUGGCCCCGCGGUGCAUUAGCUAGUUGGCAAGGUAAAGGCUUACCAAGGGCGAUGAUGCAUAGCCCGAGUUGAGAGACUGAUCGGCCACAUUGGGGACUGAGACACGGCCCAAACUCCUACGGGAGGCAGCAGUAGGGAAUCUUCCACAAUGGACGCAAGUCUGAUGGAGCAAAUGCCGCGUGAGUGAAGAAGGUUUUCGGAUCGUAAAAAGCUCUGUUGUUGGUGAAGAAGGAUAGAGGUAGUAACUGGUCCCUUUAUUUGACGGUAAUCAACCCAGAAAGUCACGGGCUAACUACGUGCCCAGCAGCCGCGGUAAAU